UACGAAGGGGGCUAGCGUUGCUCGGAAUCACUGGGCGUAAAGCGCACGUAGGCGGCUUCUUAAGUCAGGGGUGAAAUCCUGGAGCUCAACUCCAGAACUGCCUUUGAUACUGGGGAUCUCGAGUCCGGAAGAGGUGAGUGGAACUCCGAGUGUAGAGGUGAAAUUCGUAGAUAUUCGGAAGAACACCAGUGGCGAAGGCGGCUCACUGGUCCGGUACUGACGCUGAGGUGCGAAAGCGUGGGGAGCAAACAGG
rnacentral:rRNA from 1 species